rnacentral:rRNA from 1 species
AUUGAACGCUGGCGGCAGGCCUAACACAUGCAAGUCGAACGAGUGGCGGACGGGUGCGUAAUGUCUGUGAAACUUCCUGCUGGAGGGGGAUACCUACUGGAAACGGUAGCUAAUACCGCAUACCAUCAGAGUUGCCCAGAUGGGAUUAGCUUGGUGGGGGGUUAACGGCUCACCAAGGCGACGAUCCAUAGCUGGUCUGAGAGGAUGACCAGCCAAACUGGAACUGAGACACGGUCCAGACUCCUACGGGAGGCAGAAGUGGGGAAUAUUGCACAAUGGGCGCAAGCCUGAUGCAGCCAUGCCGCGUGUAUGAAGAGGGCCUUCGGGUUGUAAAGUACUUUCAGCGGGGAGGCGUUACCCGCAGAAGAAGCACCGGCUAACUCCGUGCCAGCCGCCGCGGUAAUUC